GGGGGAUGUCAAAGAUACUCUUCUCCCUCGACUCCAUCAGGAUCUGCGCAUGGAGAGCAGAAAGAGGAGUAUAGGAGUCAUACCUGCUGUCAUAAUUGUUAGGCUUUGGACUCUGUCGGUGGGGUGAAGCUCCUUUAUUAAUUAUUGAUCGAUUUGGUUCGGCCAGAACUCCGCCUUUCUUUUGCUUCUUUUUCUAACUUUUUUCUUCUGUCUGACGUCGGUCAGAAGCACUUUCAUCUGUGCGAAUAUACUUAUAUGCGCACUUCAAAAGUUCAGCGGAAGUUUGAGGAAGAGUUUUAUCCAGAGAUAAGUAAACCUGGAUCCCUUCAGAUCUCUCUUCAUGGUCGAGAUGGCCAUAUCUUCAUUGAGGUCUCUGACCUCAAAUGUGGCCACGUUAAAGCGAGCCAUGAAAUCUCUCAAUGUCUUUGUCUCACCUUGCUUGAUGGAGAAGAGAAUAUCUGAUGUCUGCGGCACCUUUCAGCUAGUGCUAAAAUAGACCACGAACGAAUGUUCCAGCUACUCGAAAGAACUUAUGCUCCUCA
rnacentral:lncRNA from 1 species